ACCAGUUUAGUAUAGUUGUGAUAUAAAUAUAUGUUUCUUUUCUUCGUUACAGUUUUUGCAAAAAAAGUUUAUAAAUCAUCUCUGAAGCUUCUGCAAUUAUGACUUUGAAAGUCGAUAUUGAAUAUUGUGGAGCUUGAGGGUAUUAUCCUCGUUUUAACUAUCUGAAGGAAAAGAUUGAAAAUGCAACAUGUAAUGCUCAAGUUUCUGGUCAUGUUGGAAGAUCAAGUUCGUUUGAAAUAAUGGUCAAUGGUUCGUUAAUUUACUCAAAAUUAGAAAAAAAUAGUUUCCCAGAUUUCAAAGAGGUUGUUAAUGCCAUUGAGGAAAUUAACAAUGGAGGCAUUGCUGGUGAGAUUGGGGAAGAAAAAUCAAGUUGUGUAAUUGUAUAGAUCAAUGCAUAAUUGUUAUGAAAAAUUUACAAUUUUUUAUGAAGACCUCUGUUGAAAUCAGAUUGUUCGUCUUGACUGCAGAGAUUGGAACAUUAUUUAAUGUUGUAAUUUGAAAUUUAUGUAAUUAUAUUAUAAAUAAAUUGUCAUAAAAUGUUUUUAA